rnacentral:misc_RNA from 1 species
GAUGAAGAACGCAGCGAAAUGCGAUAAGUAAUGUGAAUUGCAGAAUUCAGUGAAUCAUCGAAUCUUUGAACGCACAUUGCGCCCACCAGUAUUCUGGCGGGCAUGCCUGUUCGAGCGUCAUUUCAACCAUCAAGCCCCAGGCUUGUGUUGGAGCCCUGCGGCUGCCGCAGCCUCCCAAAACCAGUGGCGGGCUCGCUAUCACACCGAGUGCAGUAGUUUACUCUUCGCUCAGGGCGUGUGGCGGGUGCUAGCCGUAAAACCCCCAACUUCUCAAGGUUGACCUCGGAUCAGGUAGGAAUACCCGCUGAACUUAAGCAUAUCAAUAAGCGGAGGA